GGAAAUCAGAGGUGGAAAAGAGGUUGGAGGAGCCUGUUCCGUUCCACCCGCGUUUACUGAUGCGCCCACCAGCAGCCACGCUUGGGGCUGGGGGCUUUGAGGACACGCACGUGAGUCAGGGUCUUCUGGCCUCUAAGGCACGCGCAGGAAGAACCCUAGAUAGACGGAAUUACGACCCAUAUCGGAAGAAUAGCAUAAAGGGCGACAAGGCUCAAAUGAGCUAGAGGACAUCGGGUGGGGAACCUGGAAGGGACUUCAAAGAGGCGGUGUGGGGAGUCUUCAGGCUCACUCUGAGGUCCCCAUUGUGGCUUGCUUCUGCAGCUGAGCUGGAUUUGUGUAAAGUCAAACCUCAGAACAGCGAGCAUGAGUAGAGAGUCUCAAAUGAUAUGCGACUCUUCAACUCACACUUUGGCCGAAGAGACUUUUGAAAGAACCAUGAGGUUCAAGUUAUUCUUCAUGCAUUUGUGCUUCCUUUCCAGGCCUUGGGCUGAGCUGAUUCUCAGCUUUAUUUGCUGGCGUGGUGCAAAUAGUCAAGGUGUUACUUCCAGCCCUUUGGGGUGUAGGUUCACCUCCUUUUUCCACCUUACCUGUCCCUAGAUCUUCUGUUUCCAAGGCCAAGUCUUUAAAGGGUUUUCAGUCCCUCUAGCAAAGUAAUGGGUAGGGAGGCUCAUCGUGAGGGACCACAUUUUCCCUACCCAUUCCAAACUCAAAGGUUUGCCUAGCCUUACCUGCUAAAAGGUGAUGACAGAUGUUGACUCUGGGAUUCACUAAGGCCUCUACCACAGUUUUCUCUAGAAACAAAUAGAAGAGAAUGCAGAGGGUUGAAAUCUACCCAAAAUAUCAGUCAGAGACUCUGAGCUUCAAAGACCUUCCCCUAUUUCCCCCAAUGUAAUUUAUAUAGGGUUGGACCCUUAGUCCUCAAGCUAUCAUCUUUAUCUCCUCCACAUAAGCCUGCCUUGGCUGGGAAAAGUAGCAUUCAAAGGGCACUGGGAACAAUUUUAAAUGCUGCAUCUAAGGAAUGCCAAGUUCUGGUCCUCUUGGAGUUGGAUUAAAAUUGUUAACACUUUCACAUUCAAGGGCUGCUUACAACUACUACAGACCCUAUUAUCUGUUCUUCUGAAUUAGCAUGAAAAUGAAUAGCACAAUAUAACUAGAAAUGAGUAUUUCUAGAAAUGAGUAUAUACAUCUAUAGAUGUAUAACAUCGGUUUUUCUUAUUGAAUGGUGCUACUUAUUUUAACAACCAGGCUGCCUUAAAUAUAAUGGACAUCCGUAUGGAUUAAGACUCUAUACAAGCUUUCUCUUUAGUACACCAGGGGAAAGUGAAAAAAGAACCACAUUUGAAUUCGGCUUUGUCACUACAAGUGGGUGACCAUGAGCAAGUUACUAACCUCAGUGAACCUGUUCCUAACCUAAAAAGGAGGAGAAUGGAGAGCAGAUGAACUCAUCCUUAUGGAUUAAGAAGACAAAGAAUACAAGCAAGCAGGAGAAAGUCUAAGAAGAGAGUUCACCUGGUGGGUGGCAACGUUCACAGCAAGAGUACCAUCCUUCUGUAACAUGCAUUCUCAAAAGAGCCAAUAUCACCUUCAAAAGGACGUAAAUUGCUUCUUGGGGUAGGGAGGCCAAAAAAAAAUCUUAAAUAUUAUAGUGGUCUGUGGCCCCCACAAAGUUCAGCCCUAUUCCUUAGUAUUUAAUUUUUCUUUUAGGGAGCAUUUAAACCUAAUUAACUCUUCCCCUUUAGGGGCAGUGAUAACAAAAAACAAAUUGAGAAACACUGCUUUAUAGAGAUGGAGGGCAAGCUCUAAAACAGAAAAAGAAUAGAUUUCCUGGCUUCCUAAGGUAGACCUCUUAAUCCUUCCGAAAACCUUGGAAUUCCACUGACUUCCAGAUCCUUGCCCCAGG
rnacentral:lncRNA from 1 species